rnacentral:rRNA from 1 species
UACGAAGGGGGCUAGCGUUGUUCGGAAUUAUUGGGCGUAAAGCGCGCGCAGGCGGCUUGGCGCGCCCGACGUGAAAGCCCCCGGCUUAACCGGGGAGGGUCGUCGGGUACGGCCAGGCUUGAGGGCGGGAGAGGGUGGUGGAAUUCCCGGUGUAGUGGUGAAAUGCGUAGAGAUCGGGAGGAACACCUGUGGCGAAGGCGGCCACCUGGGCCGACCCUGACGCUGAGGCGCGAAGGCGUGGGGAGCGAACGGG